GCGAUGUUCAUUGGAUUUAUGUCCUAGAAAACAUUUUUAUAGAUACAACCCUACAGACGCUACUCAUUUUAACAUUCGUGAACAUUGUUUUUACAUAUUUAAUCUGAUCCGUCUGUACUGUUGAGAGAUUUGAGAAUAAAUUGUUGACAAGCUACAGGACUAAAGGACAGAAAAAUGAGCGUUUCUAAUAAAUUCUCUUCUUAGUGGACAAGACUGUAGGUCAAACUGAACAGCAGAUUGUUUUCUCAACCCAAUGCUGAUCACUGGAGUUUAUCUGCAGUUUGUCAGAAGAGCGAGGAAAGGACUCUCAGUCUGAGAUGAGUCUCUCACGGAAACAGAGUGUAAGAUCAGGCUCACAUGUGUCCAGCUCUGUGUCUGUGAAGAGUGACCGGUCACACAAUCAACCACCGGACUUAAGUGAGAAAAAAACAUCAUCUACCAAAAG